rnacentral:rRNA from 1 species
GCUCAGGAUGAACGCUGGCGGCGUGCCUAAUACAUGCAAGUCGAGCGAACAGAUAAGGAGCUUGCUCCUUUGACGUUAGCGGCGGACGGGUGAGUAACACGUGGGUAACCUACCUAUAAGACUGGAAUAACUCCGGGAAACCGGGGCUAAUGCCGGAUAACAUGUUGAACCGCAUGGUUCUACAGUGAAAGACGGUCUUGCUGUCACUUAUAGAUGGACCCGCGCCGUAUUAGCUAGUUGGUGGGGUAACGGCCUACCAAGGCGACGAUACGUAGCCGACCUGAGAGGGUGAUCGGCCACACUGGAACUGAGACACGGUCCAGACUCCUACGGGAGGCAGCAGUAGGGAAUCUUCCGCAAUGGGCGAAAGCCUGACGGAGCAACGCCGCGUGAGUGAUGAAGGUCUUCGGAUCGUAAAGCUCUGUUGUUAGGGAAGAACAAAUGUGUAAGUAACUGUGCACAUCU